rnacentral:misc_RNA from 1 species
GAUGAAGAACGCAGCGAAAUGCGAUAAGUAAUGUGAAUUGCAGAAUUCAGUGAAUCAUCGAAUCUUUGAACGCACCUUGCACCCUUUGGCAUUCCGAAGGGUAUGCUCGUUUGAGUGUCAUUGUACUCUCACACUUCCGAUCUUUGGAUUGGGAGCGGUGGACUUGGGUGUUGCUGCUUACUGUGGCUCACCUCAAAUCGAUUCGUGCACCUCUUGGUUGGACAUAGUACGGCGUGAUAAGUGUCUUCGCCGGCACCUCAGUAGAGGGUGGCUGAUCGGGAGCUCUGCUUCAAACCGUCCUCGGACAACAACUGACAACUUGACCUCAAAUCGAGUAGGACUACCCGCUGAACUUAAGCAUAUCAAUAAGCGGAGA